rnacentral:rRNA from 1 species
UACGUAGGCAGCGAGCGUUGUUCGGAGUUACUGGGCGUAAAGGGUGUGUAGGCGGUUGUUUAAGUUUGGUGUGAAAUCUCCCGGCUCAACUGGGAGGGUGCGCCGAAUACUGAAUGACUAGAGUGCGGGAGAGGAAAGUGGAAUUCCUGGUGUAGCGGUGAAAUGCGUAGAUAUCAGGAGGAACACCGGUGGUGUAGACGGCUUUCUGGACCGUAACUGACGCUGGAGACACGAAAGCGUGGGUAGCAAACAGG